rnacentral:pre_miRNA from 1 species
AGCCCUCUGUAUCCGUGCUGAGAUUUCGUCAGAGAUCAACCCAUUGGGGUUGAUGGUACUUCCCAAAUAAGUGAAGCG